ensembl:lncRNA
GACUGUGCAACGCAGAAAUCUUGAUUCCACAGGAUUGCAUUUGACCCACUUCCUGGAUUAACUAUAAGGAUACUAGAGUAACAACGGAGCCCCAGUGUAGGUUAUUUGUGCUAAUACUGUGCAUAUGUGUUAUGCUUUCUCAAGAGGCAGAUGAGUGAAUAAUAUUCAUCAUCUUUUUUUUAUCUAUAUAUAUAGUGUGUUAGGGAAAGGCUGCACAUGUUUGUGCUGGAUUUGCUCCAUUGUAAGGAGUUGUGGGUUUGAAAAGAAGAAUAGAUCUGAUGUCAGGUUCCUAGAACCAGUGAAUGUUUAUGUUUUGGAGAACAAAGAGUCUAAAUCAGUGUUUUGCAUUGCAUCUACAGGAGGUUUGUUUUUAAUUGGUUUCACAUGCUGAAUGCGUUAGUCAUCAAGGUUUUGGCAGUUGCUGCCAUAUUUCUGGGACUCCAAAUACUUAGCAACUCUUCUGGCCACUGGAUGGUUAAAACCAUGGGAGGCUUUGUGGGCUGGGAGGCACUCAUGGUGAUCCUGAUGGUUGUAAAUCAGUGUUUCAAAAAGAAAGGUAAGGCACAGUCCUGGGAUGACCCUCCCAAAGCCCAUACAAAGCUCUUCCGCUUGUUUUUAAAUAUCAAAGAAUAAAAGGUUCAUUUCCUAUUUUUUUUGUCUUUUACAUUUUCCAGAAAUAUAUGAGGAUCCACAAGCCAAGGUAAAUCCUUUUUGUUCUUGCAGCAGUAAGCAGUUUAUGUUGGUGCAUUUCUGAGUGCUAGUUAUGGCCCUUCUCAUCACAUAGCUGGUUCAUGACCGGAGCUGGAGAUGUGCCUUGAAUCUCAGAGUGAUGCGGAGAUAUCCCACUACUCGCCAUGAUCCGCCCCUAUUUCUAUUGCCAGCUUAAAACAGAGUUCCGAUUGACUCUCCAGACUUCAGGGGGUCUCGUCCCUUCUCAUUGCAUCAUGUUCAGCCGACGUGAUGCGUACAGCACAGCCGAACAGAUAAAAGAGAUUGACUCUUCUUUUUCUGGCUUCUUCUGUCUCAUAGCAGGAGAAGAAAGAGGCAAAAUUCUCCUUCCGUUUCCACUUCUGUCCUGAUGAAUUACUGUUCAAACACCCACGCAUGUACAAUUUGUAUUUUUAAAUUCCUAUUUAUUAAAUGUAAAGAGAAAUGUCAUAUCUGAUUAGGCCCUUAGCUUUAAAGACAAUACCUCUGCCCACUGCUUGUGGGAAUGUAUGGAUUUGUAUAGAUACCUAGAAGGAAAUACUCUGGCUGACAAAAUGAGUGCCAGAAAUACUCACUUUUUAUUUUCUAGCUAGGCUUUGCCUUGCGUUUCAUUCCAUGAUCCCCUGCUUUCUUCCUCCAUCUUUUUUAGAUUUCUCUCUGCUCAUGAAUGUAUGUAUUUUUCUUUUCUAGGUGAAAAGUGAAAUAUUACUGCUGCAUAUAUGUGUGUGUGGAAACCUGGCAUUUUUAAUAGCUCUGCUUGUAGGCAUUGGAAGAUCUUAGAAUUAGUUUCCUGUUGGGUGGAAGAAUGAAAACCGCCUCUGCUCUUUUGCUACUUGGCAUUUCCAAAAAGAGACUGUCAAAAAUUUUAUCUCUUUGAUGCAAGGUCUUUUUGGCCAUUCUCGCAACUUGUUGAAAGCAGCCUGCUGUGCACAAUAUAAGGAAAUCUAUUUAAAUAUAAAUCAACAGAUGACACAUUCAAGGGCAAAAGUGGGUUCACACUGAUUAUAUGGUAUGGUCUGGAGCAAAUGUACAUCCUUAACACAUAAGGGAUACAUUUCCAUGGCAAUUGCUUCAUUUCAGUAGAUAUAAGCCCAGAUCAAGGGAAACUGUUCCUCUUUUUUGCUGAUAGUAACUUGAUAACUGAUUAAAAUUAAAAGUAAUCAGUUAUCAAGUUACAAUCAGCAAAAAAGAGGAACAGUUUCCCUUGAUCUGGGCUUAUAUCUACUGAAACAUAAGGCAAUGUACCGUUUCACUCUGAAAAAUCCCCCAGAUUUUAGCUAAAUUAAGGACUCUUAAUGAAUAGGCUUAAUUAAGGACUCUUCCAGACAGAGCAUUUAUUGUCCUUGAAGCACAGAGUUCUGCCACAGUAUCAGUACCUCCCCAUCUGUAUUGACAUUCCCCUUAUUACACUCCAUCCAAUAUUUGUUUCUUUGACUUUCUGCCCCUUUUUGAAGGCACAGCUUGGCAGGGAUGUUGGCAAGUCUUUGAGCUGGAGUCCCCAGUCCAAGACUGAGUCUUUGGUGCCAAGGGCCAAGCCUGAAGUUGACUCCCUAUCCAAAACAAGCUUUUUUCCCCAGGAAAAAAAAGAGAGGGUGCUGAAUCAUGAGUCAAGUCCGAGUCAUCGGAAAGAGGGAUGAGUGGUUCCGAAUCAUGAGUCAAGUCCGAGUCAUCGGAAAAACAACAACAACGUGUUGAGUCCGAGUCGAGUCACUGGUGCAAUUUAACUCCGACUUGAUAGCAAGUCCAGCAACUUGAAUCCCCAUCCCUGCAGUUUAGUGUUGUUUCCUACCAGGGGCAGAGUUUAGUGCCUCCCAUUUGCAAUGGAUCUCAAGUGAGACCCUCCAUUUGGAAGCUUUCAGUCACUGCUCAAAGCGGAGGUAGCCCCAGCAGUGAAACUCUCAGCAAUAGAGUGAGUUCCUUGAAGAAAAUCAAGAAAAGUAGGCUUUUAAAGAGAAUUUUGCAUGCAUGUCCUGGUAAGCUUGUGGGAUGGGAGUGGCAAAUGCUCUGUUUGGAGGAGUCAGAACUUGCUUAAUGGAAACGACAGUCCCAAUUCUCUUCCAGGGCUCCCACAUUCUUAAGGCUACAAUUCUGCACAGUUGCAGAGUUUUAAGAGUAAAUUCUGACGAGUGCUUUGGAAUUUACUCCUGAUCGUGAUGGUAAAGCCCCUGCGUUCAGAUAUAUGCAAACCCCGUGUGUUCAGAUAUACAUAGCACUUAUAUAUGCUAUGGCUGCCCCAUUCAUUUUAAAGGAACCGAGUAAGUGCUCAGAAUUUCCCUGGUGUGGAUAAAUCAGGUCCUUUGAUGAAAAAAGAAUUGGAACUUUUGAGGGUGUAGCAGAAACUCCUUCUGUGCCAUGGAGUCCUUACAACAGCAAACAAUGGUUGGAUCAAGGCACAUAACAACUUUCCCUAUUAUAUUAUGUCUAUUAUGUUUUUCCAUGAUUUUCCUGUUUUUGUAUCACCAGUCUAAUCCAGCAGGUGUUGUCAAAUCCUUGCCUCACCUCAAAAUUGCAUGCAUCCUUUACAGUUGAUAAAUAUACAGCUGAUAAAUAUAUAUGUUCUUGUUAGGAAUAGAAAGUGAUCUUAUAAGCUUAAAUGUCAAUAACUUUAGAAACAUGGAUUACAGAUGGGAACAAAAAUAUGUUGCGGGGGGACACUUCUUGUGUCUGUUGUAGACCUUUGGGUAGUGUGGGCGGGAUAUAAGUUAAAUAAAUAAAUACAUAAAUAAUUAAGUUUUCCUGGG